rnacentral:rRNA from 1 species
CCUACGGGGUGCAGCAGUGAGGAAUAUUGGUCAAUGGGCGCGAGCCUGAACCAGCCAAGUCGCGUGAGGGACGACGGUCCUAUGGAUUGUAAACCUCUUUUGCCGGGGAGCAACAGACGCCACGCGUGGCGUUCCGAGAGUACCCGAAGAAAAAGCAUAGGCUAACUCCGUGCCAGCCGCCGCGGUAAUACGUGGGAUGCGAGCGUUAUCCGGAUUUAGUGGGUUUAAAGGGUGCGCAGGCGGAAGAUCACAUCAGCGGUAAAAUUGAGAGGCUCAAGCUCGUCGAGCCGUCGAAACUGGUUUUCUUGAGUGAGUGAGAAGUAUGCGGAAUGCGUGGUGUAGCGGUGAAAUGC